rnacentral:rRNA from 1 species
GACGAGCGCUGGCGGCGUGCUUAACACAUGCAAGUCGAACGGAAAGGCCUCUUUCGGGGGGUACUCGAGUGGCGAACGGGUGAGUAACACGUGAGUAACCUGCCCUUGACUUUGGGAUAACUUCAGGAAACUGGGGCUAAUACCGGAUAGGAGCUCCUGCUGCAUGGUGGGGGUUGGAAAGUUUCGGCGGUUGGGGAUGGACUCGCGGCUUAUCAGCUUGUUGGUGGGGUAGUGGCUUACCAAGGCUUUGACGGGUAGCCGGCCUGAGAGGGUGACCGGCCACAUUGGGACUGAGAUACGGCCCAGACUCCUACGGGAGGCAGCAGUGGGGAAUAUUGCACAAUGGGUGGAAGCCUGAUGCAGCAACGCCGUGUGCGGGAUGACGGCCUUCGGGUUGUAAACCGCUUUCGCUCAUGACGAAGCUUUGUGUGACGGUAGUGGGUAAAGAAGCACCGGCUAACUACGUG